rnacentral:lncRNA from 1 species
GGCAGGGGGGCGGCCCCUUCCCCAAGCUCGGUUGGCCCUGUUCCUCCUCCCCUUCGCUAGCAGCUGCGCCUAGCCCGGGACUGGACCGAGUUAGAGUUGAGGCGCCGGAGGAGUAGCGCAGAGUGCGUGCGUCCCCCGCGGGGGGGUCCGUGCCUGCGAGCGGCGGGGAGCCGGGCUCCAGCCCAGUUUGGUGCAGCCUUGGCAGAGACCGACAAGGAGAGGGAGCUCUAUUAACACACUGUUUUUGUGGAGGGUGGCAAGUUGAUACAAGAAGAGCAGGUUCCCCAAAGAGAGCAGGGGAAAAGUCUUGGAGUAACUUAUUAAGGUAAACAGAUUGCAGUGGAUUUCUGAAUGGGUAAGUGUUGAUGAGCAGGAUUUUUCUGCUUCUCCUAUUCACUUUUUUUUCAUAAAUUCUUUUUAAAGAAAUACACAGAAGGCUGCUUCUAGCUUUGCGCAGAGGUUCAGUGGUAUCCC